rnacentral:rRNA from 1 species
CAGCAUAUCAUAGCGGAGGAAAAGAAACCAACAGGGAUUGCCCUAGUAACGGCGAGUGAAGCGGCAACAGCUCAAAUUUGAAAUCUGGCGUCUUCGGCGUCCGAGUUGUAAUUUGCAGAGGGCGCUUUGGUAUUGGCAGCGGUCCAAGUUCCUUGGAACAGGACGUCACAGAGGGUGAGAAUCCCGUACGUGGUCGCUAGCCUUUACCGUGUAAAGCCCCUUCGACGAGUCGAGUUGUUUGGGAAUGCAGCUCUAAAUGGGAGGUAAAUUUCUUCUAAAGCUAAAUACUGGCCAGAGACCGAUAGCGCACAAGUAGAGUGAUCGAAAGAUGAAAAGCACUUUGGAAAGAGAGUUAAAAAGCACGUGAAAUUGUUGAAAGGGAAGCGCUUGCAGCCAGACUUGCCUGUAGUUGCUCAUCCGGGUUUCUACCCGGUGCACUCUUCUAUAGGCAGGCCAGCAUCAGUUUGGGCGGUUGGAUAAAGGUCUCUGUCAUGUACCUCCUUUCGGGGAGAACUUAUAGGGGAGACGACAUGCAACCAGCCUGGACUGAGGUCCGCGCAUCUGCUAGGAUGCUGGCGUAAUGGCUGUAAGCGGCCCGUCUUGAAACACGGACCAAGGAGUCUAACAUCUAUGCGAGUGUUUGGGUGUCAAGCCCGAACGCGUAAUGAAAGUGAACGGAGGUGGGAACCUUUCGGGGUGCACCAUCGACCGAUCCUGAUGUCUUCGGAUGGAUUUGAGUAAGAGCAUAGCUGUUGGGACCCGAAAGAUGGUGAACUAUGCUUGAAUAGGGUGAAGCCAGAGGAAACUCUGGUGGAGGCUCGCAGCGGUUCUGACGUGCAAAUCGAUCGUCAAAUUGGGCAUAGGGGCGAAAGACUAAUCGAACUAUCUAGUAGCUGGUUCCUG